GAUGAACGCUAGCGGGAGGCCUAAUACAUGCAAGUCGAACGGUAAGGUCCCUUCGGGGAUACACGAGUGGCGGACGGGUGCGUAACGCGUACGAAACAUACCUUCAACAGGGAGAUACCUCCGGGAAACUGGAAAUAAUACCCCAUAGUAUUGUGACAUCGCAUGAUGUUUACAAUUAAAGACUUUGGUCGGUUGAAGAUUGUCGUGCGUCUGAUUAGCUAGUUGGUGAGGUAACGGCUCACCAAGGCGACGAUCAGUAGCUGGUCUGAGAGGAUGAUCAGCCACACUGGAACUGAGACACGGUCCAGACUCCUACGGGAGGCAGCAGUAGGGAAUAUUGGACAAUGGGCGGAAGCCUGAUCCACGCCAUCCCGCCGUGUAGGAA
rnacentral:rRNA from 1 species